rnacentral:lncRNA from 1 species
UAGUCGCUGCAACAGACAAUUAGCUUUAAGAAUGUUUAUUAAGUCCAACUUGUUAUGUGUCUAGUUGCAAAUCUAGUGUCUUUUAAAUAGAAUAAAGUCUGCAGCAGUUAUUUGUAACUGCAGACCUUGUAUUUAGGGGUAGUUAUUUGUGGUGGUUAUAACUGCCACUAUAUAGGUAGUCCUAUAUUUAGAAUUCUGUAUCAAUGUGUAUUUGUUAUUGUACAGUUUGUGAAAUAAAUAUUUAGAUUGUGUAGAUUGAUU